AAACAGGCAGUUUGUGAAUAUUAAACAGAACAGUGGUGCUGAGCAUGGCUAAAGCAUCUCUGCAUUCACAGGGAGAGGAGCGGAAGACCUUCUGGUGUGGGCUGGGCAGCAAUUCACUUGAAGGAGAAACAGCCCGGGUGUGGAGAGGCGGCUGUCCUUGGAGGGAUCCUUUCUAAGGAGCCGAGAAAUCAACGUAGAGCUUCCUCUAUCUGAUUCUCUAACAACUGCAGACCUUCCAUGAGUCAAGCUUUGUGUCAAAAGGACAAAUUAAAAGGACCUAUAAAAGGCAUCACCAAGCCCAGUGGACAGAUGCCCCAGGCUGCACAUUCUGUCAGUGCUGUUCUGGAAAAGGCCCAAACACAUGCUGAAACAUGGAAGAACUCAUUUAUGUAUCUCAUUUGAUCUCAUCACAACCUGAGACACAGGUCAUAAUAGAGACUUCGGGGCUCAUUUUAUACCCGGUGAACCAGCCAACUUUCAUGCAGUUGAGAAAAGGUAAACUGUCCAGAUAACGUGGCUCACACCCGUAAUUUCAGCACUUUGGGAGGCCGAGGUGGGCAGAUCACUUGAGCCCAGGAGUUGGAGACCAGCCUGGGCAACAUGGCAAAAAAACCAUCUCUACAAAAAAUACAAAAAUUAGCUGGGCAUGGUGGCACAUGCUUGUCAUCCCAGCCACUUGGGAGGCUGAGGCAUGAGGAUUGCUGAGCCCUAGAGGCAGAGGUUGCAGUGAAUCGAGCUUGCACCACUGCACUCCAG
rnacentral:lncRNA from 1 species